rnacentral:rRNA from 1 species
AGUGAACGCUGGCGGUAGGCCUAACACAUGCAAGUCGAACGGCAGCACAGUAAGAGCUUGCUCUUACGGGUGGCGAGUGGCGGACGGGUGAGGAAUACAUCGGAAUCUACUUUUUCGUGGGGGAUAACGUAGGGAAACUUACGCUAAUACCGCAUACGACCUACGGGUGAAAGCAGGGGAUCUUCGGACCUUGCGCGAUUGAAUGAGCCGAUGUCGGAUUAGCUAGUUGGCGGGGUAAAGGCCCACCAAGGCGACGAUCCGUAGCUGGUCUGAGAGGAUGAUCAGGCAAACUGGAACUGAGACACGGUCCAGACUCCUACGGGAGGCAGCAGUGGGGAAUAUUGGACAAUGGGCGCAAGCCUGAUCCAGCCAUAACGCGUGGGUGAAGAAGGCCUUCGGGUUGUAAAGCCCUUUUGUUGGGAAAGAAAAGCAGCAGGUUAAUACCCCGCUGUUCUGACGGUACCCAAAGAAUAAGCACCGGCUAACUUCGUG